rnacentral:rRNA from 1 species
AUUGAACGCUGGCGGCAGGCCUAACACAUGCAAGUCGAACGGCAGCGGGAAGUAGCUUGCUACUUUGCCGGCGAGUGGCGGACGGGUGAGUAAUGUCUGGGAAACUGCCUGAUGGAGGGGGAUAACUACUGGAAACGGUGACUAAUACCGCAUGACGUCGCAAGACCAAAGAGGGGGACCUGCGGGCCUCUUGCCAUCGGAUGUUCCCAGAUGGGAUUAGCUAGUAGGCGGGGUAAUGGCCCACCUAGGCGACGAUCCCUAGCUGGUCUGAGAGGAUGACCAGCCACACUGGGACUGAGACACGGCCCAGACUCCUACGGGAGGCAGCAGUGGGGAAUAUUGCACAAUGGGCGCAAGCCUGAUGCAGCCAUGCCGCGUGUGUGAAGAAGGCCUUCGGGUUGUAAAGCACUUUCAGCGAGGAGGAAGGGGUUGAACUUAAUACGUUCAAUCAUUGACGUUACUCGCAGAAGAAGCACCGGCUAACACCGUGCCAGCCGCCGCAGUAA